rnacentral:rRNA from 1 species
GGCGGCCNGGAAAGUCUGGAGUAAAAGGCUAUGGCACANCCAUAGUGUGCUCUGGAAACUGUNUGACUUGAGUGCAGAAGGGGAGAGUGGAAUUCCAUGUGUAGCGGUGAAAUGCGUAGAUAUAUGGAGGAACACCAGUGGCGAAAGCGGCUCUCUGGUCUGUCACUGACGCUGAGGCUCGAAAGCGUGGGUAGCGAACAGGAUUAGAUACCCUGGUAGUCCACGCCGUAAACGAUGAGUGCUAGGUGUUAGGCCCUUUCCGGGGCUUAGUGCCGGAGCUAACGCAAUAAGCACUCCGCCUGGGGAGUACGACCGCAAGGUUGAAACUCAAAGGAAUUGACGGGGGCCCGCACAAGCGGUGGAGCAUGUGGUUUAAUUCGAAGCAACGCGAAGAACCUUACCAGGUCUUGACAUCCCGAUGCUAUUCUUAGAGAUAGGAAGUUACUUCGGUACAUCGGAGACAGGUGGUGCAUGGUUGUCGUCAGCUCGUGUCGUGAGAUGUUGGGUUAAGUCCCGCAACGAGCGCAACCCUUAUUGUUAGUUGCCAUCAUUAAGUUGGGCACUCUAGCGAGACUGCCGGUAAUAAACCGGAGGAAGGUGGGGAUGACGUCAAAUCAUCAUGCCCCUUAUGACCUGGGCUACACACGUGCUACAAUGGUCGGUACAACGAGUUGCGAGCCGGUGACGGCAAGCUAAUCUCUGAAAGCCGAUCUCAGUUCGGAUUGGAGGCUGCAACUCGCCUCCAUGAAGUCGGAAUCGCUAGUAAUCGCGGAUCAGCACGCCGCGGUGAAUACGUUCCCGGGCCUUGUACACACCGCCCGUCACACCACGAGAGUUUGUAACACCCGAAGUCGGUGAGGUAACCUUUUAGGGGC